CUGUCUUUCACGUGUUGAAUUGAAAUUCAUUGGUCUAACAUACAUUUGGUAUCUGAUAUCCAUAUUGCAAUCAAACUAAUCUAGGUUUACAUUGGGAAGCCUCACUAUGAGUCGUAAAGAGCUCUCUAUUAAAGGCGACGACUCAAACUUGAGAUCUCCGAUACAGAAUGGAGGAGGAGUACUACCACCCCCACCAUAAUCUUUGGUUGUGUAACACUUGUUAAUUG
rnacentral:lncRNA from 1 species